GACGAACGCUGGCGGCGUGCUUAACACAUGCAAGUCGAACGGAAAGGCCCUGCUUUUGUGGGGUGCUCGAGUGGCGAACGGGUGAGUAACACGUGAGUAACCUGCCCUUGACUUUGGGAUAACUUCAGGAAACUGGGGCUAAUACCGGAUAGGAGCUCCUGCUGCAUGGUGGGGGUUGGAAAGUUUCGGCGGUUGGGGAUGGACUCGCGGCUUAUCCGCUUGUUGGUGGGGUAGUGGCUUACCAAGGCUUUGACGGGUAGCCGGCCUGAGAGGGUGACCGGCCUCAUUGGGACUGAGAUACGGCCCAGACUCCUACGGGCGGCAGCAGGGGGGAAUAUUGCACAAUGGGCGGAAGCCUGAUGCAGCAACGCCGCGUGCGGGAUGACGGCCUUCGGGUUGUAAACCGCUUUCGCCUGUGACGAAGCGUGAGUGACGGUAAUGGGUAAAGAAGCACCGGCUAACUACGCG
rnacentral:rRNA from 1 species